rnacentral:rRNA from 1 species
CCUACGGGUGGCAGCAGUGGGGAAUAUUGCGCAAUGGGCGAAAGCCUGACGCAGCGACGCCGCGUGAGGGAUGAAGGUCUUCGGAUCGUAAACCUCUGUCAGCAGGGAAGAACGGUCACUGUGCUAAUCAGCAGUGAAUUGAUGGUACCUGCAAAGGAAGCACCGGCUAACUCCGCGCCAGCAGCCGCGGUAAUACGGAGGGUGCGAGCGUUAAUCGGAAUUACUGGGCGUAAAGCGAUCGUAGGCGGUAUGUCAAGUCAAGGGUGAAAUCCCCGGGCUCAACGUGGGAACUGCCGUUGAAACUGGCAGACUGGAGUGUGUGAAGGGAUAGUGGAAUUCCAGGUGUAGGAGUGAAAUCCGUAGAUAUCUGGAGGAACAUCAGUGGCGAAGGCGAGUAUCUGGCACAUAACUGACGCUGAGGAGCGAAAGCGUGGGUAGCAAACAGGAUUAGAUACCCUAGUAGUC